UCACCUUCUUGAUUACCCCCCCUAUAUCUGUCAUUCCUUUUGGUUUAUCCUCCUGCAACAGGUGUUAUUGACUCGGUUUCUGUUUCAUGGCUGUGCUUGGUUCUUGUUUCGGAUGAUGUUUGCGUUAUUAUUCAAUUUGCACUCCUGCUGGGCGGCCCGGAAACCCAGCGACAACACUGGGGUCUGCAGCUGCCAUUUUCUGGUGGGAGAGAGCGAUGGCCCUGUAGUUACCAAACAAGGUAUCUCAUCCAUCAAGGCAGAAGAGGAAGAUCUAGACUCUUGAUUGAGAAACAAGAACAAUGAGGCAUGGGAAUUUGGUUGUUGAGUCCAACAGGAGUACAUCCCUCAGACCAUCCAGUGCAUGGACAUCCUUUGCCAGUGUGAUCUGAGCAUGAACGUCCAGUUGUGGAGACUACAGUAUAUCGCGCCUGUGGACGGACAGACAUGAAGCGUGACAUGCAGAACAUCAGGCUCACCCCACAAGAAGCAGUGAAUGAUCAACACCACUCUCAGCAAGGAUCUGCAGGAAGUGAUGUAGUUUCUCUCUCUCUCUGGGGAUAAGACAUUUAAACAUCACAGAUCAAAAUUUCUACUGUGCCCAUGUUAAAAUGCAAUGUAAAUUGUGUUGUACUGAAUGAAACUGAGGAGAUGCACUCAGACCAGCCUUUGUGAUUAAACUUAUGUUAACUAUAUUACUUCAGUUGGCUGCUUUGAGCAUAACCUCAAUGUAACACAAUCUAUUCUAUGUGCCUGUUUGUGUAUGUUCUUUAUUGUUCACUUGUUUUUCAACCAUGUCAACUACAUGCAGGGUUGCACAUUUUGGGGAAUAUUUAGAGGUGGAAACUUUCCAUGGGAAGUAAUGGCAGUAUAUUGGAAUUAAUAUGAAUACCAUUUAAAUGUUUUUUUUUGCAUUGGAUAUAUUCAUCAUAUGGAGACAAACAUAAACCUGAUCAUAAGUAGACAAUUGCAAA